UUUGUGUGUGCAAGAAUCACAGCCAGCGAGUCUGUAAACAAUGAAGAUUCUUGGGGAACCACCUGCUUCAAGAUUCAGAUCUUGAGGUCUGGAAUGGGGCUGAGAAGUCUCAUUUAACAAACACCCAACACGCUUGUUAAUUCCAAUGUGCUGUCUAUUGGGCUUAGCUGCUCUGUGAGGUGGAAGGGUGGAUGGGUGGAGAUAAAGAGCCUGGAGCCAGGUCAUACGGACCUGGCACGUCACCAUCCUGGGAGGUCUAAACCCUGCAGAGGGAAAUCAGGGAGUCAACACUGAAUAUGGAGGGGGAGACAUUCGAGAAUUCUUACCAAAGAGUUGCUGAAUGUUUAUUAAAGCCAAUUUUGUAUGCACCCGGGUAUACAAAAGAGUCUGAAAUUAUACAUGUCGGGAAAUUCAUCAUGCAGUGGCCCUCAACCCAUCUGAACAUUUUCUCUGGCUACAGAAAAUGCCUGGGUCGUGCCCCGAAAUGAAUCUUCAUUUCAAAGAGAAACGGUAGGAUUUACAGGUAUCUGCAAUUAGAUUCAUUACAAAGACUUUGACAAGUACUCUUAAAUACAAGUUUCAAAAAACUUUAAGAUCAAUGUGGUUUUUUUCCCCCCAAGAUGGCAGAUUAGAGGCAUUGUUACCAUGCCUCUUGUAUUAGUCCCUUUUCAUGCUGCUGAUAAAGACAUACCUGAGACUGGGUAAUUUAUAAAGAAAAAGAGGUUUAAUAGACUCACAGUUCCCCAUGGCUGGGGAGGCUUCACAAUCAUGGCAGAAGAUGAAGGCAUGUCUUACAUGGCGGCAGGCAAGAGACAGCAUGUGCAGGGGAACUCUCCUUUGUAAAACCAUCAGAUCUCAUAAGACUUAUUCACUAUCAUGAGAACAGUAUGGGAAAAAUCCGCCCCCAUGAUUCAAUUAUUUGCCACUGGGUCCUUCCCACAACACAUGGGAAUUACGGGAGCUACAAUUCAAGAUGAGAUCUGGGCGGAGAUGAAGCCAAACCAUAUCACCUCUCAUACUUGGAAAGACAAAAUAGUGUGUAGAGACUCACGCUAUAAUUUUUUUCCCAAGAAACACCACAGGCAUUUAACCAGAAAACUGAAAGAAACCACAGACUCUUUGAAAGAAGUGGUGGCAGCAGCCUACACCAUAAGCCAGGUGGAAAACUGUGAGUCCUCAGAGUGUGGCAGUGGGAGAGACUGCCUCUGUGACACACACUCCCACUAGGGAACCUGAUAAUAUAGGCCAUGGGGGAUGGCCUUGGCCCCACCCAGCACUGGAGCUGAGCAGUGGGGAAUGUUGAGAAGGAGCAGCAUCGGACAUGCUUUGCGUGCACUCCUAGACUCCAGUGGGGAUGGAGAGAAGACAUUCCUGACUCUACUUCACACGGAGCCUUGCAGAAGUCAGCCAGCCAACUCAGGUGGCAGUCACAGGUUGAGAGAAGGUCUCAACUGUGAUUCACGACAUAAUCUUGAGUGGGGAUGAACUCCCUUGGCCAGAACUAAGGGGCAAGCGGGGGUACUGUAGUCACAAGUACAGAAGCUGGGCACCCCUGCUUUGGGGUGGACCAGGAGGGGCACGGCCUGAAAACCACAGUUUCUGUCUGGGUGGGGAAAGCUUAUAGCCUGUGGCAGUUUUGAGUUCUCAGUGCAAGGUUCCUGGAACCCAGCUAGCUGCGUUAAACAAACAAAAAGAGUUUGUGCUGUUGCUAAUAUUACAUGCUAUACUUGGAUAAAUUCCCCUAAAAGAGUUAAGACUCAAAGACACAAAAUUAAAAAAAAAAAAAUGCAGGUUACAAUGAGGGAAGAAAGAGACCCUCUCAUAUUGUUUUAUACUCAGUACCUGUUUUAAGAAAAAAACAAGGAAGUGAAACCAAAGGCAGGCAGCCCAGCGCCAGGCGCCAGACCCAAAACCGGACCCAAAACCAGGCCUGGGCCUGCCUGGCCUAAACCUAGUAGUUAAAAUUCCACCCCUGACCUAGCAACUGAUGUUAUCUAUAGAUUCCAGACAUUAUAUAGAAGGACAUUGUGAAACCUCCCAUUCUGUUCUGUUUCACUCUGACCACCAGUACAUGCAGCCCCCGUCAUGUACCGCCUGCUUGGUCAAAUCAAUCACGACCCUUUCAUGUAAAAUCUUUAGUGUUGUGAGCCCCUAAAAAGGACAGAAAUUGUGCACUCAGGGAGCUCGGAUUUUAAGACAGUAGCUUGCCGAUGCUCCCAGCUGAAUAAAGCCCUUCCUUCUACAACUCGGUGUCUGAGAGGUUUUGUCUGUGGCUCAUCCUGCUACAACAACAAGUUUCACCUAAUUUGUCAUGGUCAUUUAAUUAAUUUAAUUUAUUUAACUGGUUGCUUUUAAACCUAAGUUCAUGGAUCACAACUAAUAUACAAGCUGAGAUUGUCAUAUUACUAUUAAUUUUACUUUGUAUUUUUCUUUUAAACCUUGUACCUAUUACUUGUUAAAUUUCUACAAAACAAAUCUUCACAGAAUAAUACUGGCCCAACACUUUUAGAUAAUAGUAAAUGCCUACGGAAUAGACAAAAACUUAAACUUAACACUUGAUUUUAGGUAGAUGUAGCCUGAGAACCACUCUCUCCAAACCCCUCUUGUUGCUCAAAUGUAGCUAAAAGAGUUUAGACACUAACUCCAAUUACGCCUUCCAAUGUAGGACCAGCCAACAACGUGAGACAGGUCAAUCCCAGCUGCCUCACCGAGGGAUAAUCAAAACCUAACUACAAAAUGGUUAGCCAGUGAUUUUUUUAAAAAAUCUUGAUCAAAAAAGGAAAUGUGAAAGUUGUCAGAAUAAAAAUAAAGUCACCUGUGUUAAAAAGCAAAAAUAAAAGCAAGCCCCUGAAAAAUAAAGCUAGGGAAGGUCAUGAAAGGAAGAUUCUCAUAUACAGAUGCCUGCUGACAAAAACUAUUGCAAAAGACUGCAAAAACCUUGCACAAAGGCCACUACAACCUUACACGAGAAAAUACUGCUGCGAGAACACCUGCCUAGCAACUGCCUGUCCAACCUUGGACUGAUGCCACCCUUGUUAUUGAUCCUUCUAUUCAAAGAUAACUAUCUCAAAAACAAUUACAUAAUUCUUCUCAUUUUUUCUUUAAAAUCCUUUGUCUUCUUUUACCUCCCUGAAUAUGCACAUGGUUUACUAUGGCACACCUAUGCCAAUUGCAAUGCCCAUUCCUGAAUAAACAUUGUUUUCUUUCAGAAAGUCUCCCUGUUUGUUUGUUAUUUAGAUUGGAAAA